GGAAAGUAAGAUUCGCCAUUGUGGCUUUAAUCUUUUUACUGCAAUGUUGGGGAAGCAUGAUUCGCUAUUGUGGCUUUAAUCUAUUCCACUGCACCGCCUGGGGAGUAAAAUUCGCUGUUGUAGCUUUAAUUUUUUUAACUGCAAUGUUGGGGAAGCCAGAUUCACCGUUAUGGCUUUAAUCUGUUCCACUGCACCGCCUGAGAGGUAAGACUCACUGUUGUAGCUUUAAUCUUUUUAACUGCAAUGUCAGGGAGGCAAGAUUCACCGUUAUGGCUAUAAUCUGUUCCACUGCACCGCCUGGGAGGUAAGAUUCGUUACUGUAGGUUUAAUCUUUUUAACUGCAAUGCCAGGGAGGCAAGAUUCACCGUUGUGGCUUUAAUCUGUUCCACUGCACAGCCUGAGAGGUAAGAUUCACUGCUGUAGCUUUAAUCUUUUUAACUGCAAUGUCAGGGAGGCAAGAUUCACCGUUGUGGCUUUAAUCUGUUCCACUGCACCGCCUGGGAGGUAAGAUUCACUGUUGUAGCUUUAAUCUUUUUAACUGCAAUGUCAGGGAGGCAAGAUUCACCAUUGUGGCUUUAAUCUAUUACACUGCACUGCCUGAGAGGUAAGAUUCGCUGCUGUAGCUUUAAUCUUUUUAACUACAAUGUCAGGGAGGUAAGAUUCACAGUUGUGGCUUUAAUCUGUUCCACUGCAUCGCCUGGGAGGUAAGAUUCGCUGCUGUAGCUUUAAUCUUUUUAACUGCAAUGUCAGGGAGGCAAGAUUCACCGUUGUGACUUUAAUCUGUUCCACUGCACUACCUGGGAGGUAAGAUUCACUGCUGUAGCUUUAAUAUUUUUAACUGCAAUGUCAGGGAGGCAAGAUUCACCGUUGUGGCUUUAAUCUAUUCCACUGCACCGCCUGGGAGGUAAGAUUCGCUAUUGUAGCUUUAAUCUGCAAUGUCAAGGAAGAAAGAUUUUCCGUCUUCGAUCUGCUCCGCUACUGCUUAGGGAGACAAGAUCUGUAAUUUCUGCUAUAUUCACUGAUCUGUUCUAUGGGGAACAUGACCUGUAUAAUGAACCUAAUUAUGCCUAAUGAUUAGGAUGGCAUGAUCAAAAUGAAUCAAAUGCUCCUAACUAGACAUGUGUGAAUGGUGUUUGUCUGAAUGUAGAAUUUUAUUUCUCCAAAAAUAAUCCCACUUAGGUUGUCAUUACUCGAAGUUUAUUAAGGUUUUAUGACUGGCGUGCUACAGGACCUUCCUACUUGACUGGCCUUUUC
rnacentral:lncRNA from 1 species